GGUUAAGUUAGAAAGGGCGCACGGUGGAUGCCUUGGCACUAGGAGCCGAUGAAGGACGGGACGAACACCGAUAUGCUUCGGGGAGCUGUAAGCAAGCUUUGAUCCGGAGAUUUCCGAAUGGGGAAACCCACCACUCGUAAUGGAGUGGUAUCCAUAUCUGAAUACAUAGGAUAUGAGAAGGCAGACCCGGGGAACUGAAACAUCUAAGUACCCGGAGGAAGAGAAAAGCAAAAUGCGAUUCCCUGAGUAGCGGCGAGCGAAACGGGACCAGCCCAAACCAAGAGGCUUGCCUCUUGGGGUUGUAGGACACUCUGUACGGAGUUACAAAGGAACGAGGUAGAUGAAGAGGUCUGGAAAGGCCCGCCAUAGGAGGUAACAGCCCUGUAGUCAAAACUUCGUUCUCUCCUGAGUGGAUCCUGAGUACGGCGGAACACGUGAAAUUCCGUCGGAAUCCGGGAGGACCAUCUCCCAAGGCUAAAUACUCCCUAGUGACCGAUAGUGAACCAGUACCGUGAGGGAAAGGUGAAAAAGCACCCCGGAAGGGGAGUGAAAGAGAUCCUGAAACCGUGUGCCUACAAGUAGUCAGAGCCCGUUAACGGGUGAUGGCGUGCCUUUUGUAGAAUGAACCGGCGAGUUACGAUCCCGUGCAAGGUUAAGCAGAAGAUGCGGAGCCGCAGCGAAAGCGAGUCUGAAUAGGGCGAAUUGAGUACGUGGUCGUAGACCCGAAACCAGGUGAUCUACCCAUGUCCAGGGUGAAGUUCAGGUAACACUGAAUGGAGGCCCGAACCCACGCACGUUGAAAAGUGCGGGGAUGAGGUGUGGGUAGGGGUGAAAUGCCAAUCGAACCUGGAGAUAGCUGGUUCUCUCCGAAAUAGCUUUUAGGGGCUAGCCUCAAGGUAAGAGUCUCGGAGGUAGAGCACUGAUUGGACUAGGGGCCCCUACCGGGUUACCGAAUUCAGUCAAACUCCGAAUGCCGAUGACUUAUCCUUGGGAGUCAGACUGCGAGUGAUAAGAUCCGUAGUCGAAAGGGAAACAGCCCAGACCGCCAGCUAAGGUCCCAAAGUAUACGUUAAGUGGAAAAGGAUGUGGAGUUGCUUAGACAACCAGGAUGUUGGCUUAGAAGCAGCCACCAUUUAAAGAGUGCGUAAUAGCUCACUGGUCGAGUGACUCUGCGCCGAAAAUGUACCGGGGCUAAACGUAUCACCGAAGCUGCGGACUGUUCUUCGAACAGUGGUAGGAGAGCGUUCUAAGGGCUGUGAAGCAAGACCGGAAGGACUUGUGGAGCGCUUAGAAGUGAGAAUGCCGGUAUGAGUAGCGAAAGAGGGGUGAGAAUCCCCUCCACCGAAUGCCUAAGGUUUCCUGAGGAAGGCUCGUCCGCUCAGGGUUAGUCGGGACCUAAGCCGAGGCCGAAAGGCGUAGGCGAUGGAUAACAGGUUGAUAUUCCUGUACCACCUCCUCACCAUUUGAGCAAUGGGGGGACGCAGGAGGAUAGGGUAAGCGCGGUAUUGGAUAUCCGCGUCCAAGCAGUUAGGCUGGGAAAUAGGCAAAUCCGUUUCCCGUGAAGGCUGAGCUGUGAUGGCGAGCGAAUUAUAGUAGCGAAGUUCCUGAUUCCACACUGCCAAGAAAAGCCUCUAGCGAGGUGAGAGGUGCCCGUACCGCAAACCGACACAGGUAGGCGAGGAGAGAAUCCUAAGGUGAUCGAGAGAACUCUCGUUAAGGAACUCGGCAAAAUGACCCCGUAACUUCGGGAGAAGGGGUGCUCUGUUAGGGUGCAAGCCCGAGAGAGCCGCAGUGAAUAGGCCCAGGCGACUGUUUAGCAAACACAGGUCUCUGCGAAGCCGUAAGGCGAAGUAUAGGGGCUGACGCCUGCCCGGUGCUGGAAGGUUAAGAGGAGCGCUUAGCGUAAGCGAAGGUGCGAAUUGAAGCCCCAGUAAACGGCGGCCGUAACUAUAACGGUCCUAAGGUAGCGAAAUUCCUUGUCGGGUAAGUUCCGACCCGCACGAAAGGCGCAACGAUCUGGGCACUGUCUCAACGAGAGACUCGGUGAAAUUAUAGUACCUGUGAAGAUGCAGGUUACCCGCGACAGGACGGAAAGACCCCGUGGAGCUUUACUGCAGCCUGAUAUUGAAUGUUGGUACAGCUUGUACAGGAUAGGUAGGAGCCUUGGAAACCGGAGCGCCAGCUUCGGUGGAGGCAUCGGUGGGAUACUACCCUGGCUGUAUUGACCUUCUAACCCGCCGCCCUUAUCGGGCGGGGAGACAGUGUCAGGUGGGCAGUUUGACUGGGGCGGUCGCCUCCUAAAAGGUAACGGAGGCGCCCAAAGGUUCCCUCAGAAUGGUUGGAAAUCAUUCGCAGAGUGUAAAGGCACAAGGGAGCUUGACUGCGAGACCUACAAGUCGAGCAGGGACGAAAGUCGGGCUUAGUGAUCCGGUGGUUCCGCAUGGAAGGGCCAUCGCUCAACGGAUAAAAGCUACCCCGGGGAUAACAGGCUUAUCUCCCCCAAGAGUCCACAUCGACGGGGAGGUUUGGCACCUCGAUGUCGGCUCAUCGCAUCCUGGGGCUGUAGUCGGUCCCAAGGGUUGGGCUGUUCGCCCAUUAAAGCGGUACGCGAGCUGGGUUCAGAACGUCGUGAGACAGUUCGGUCCCUAUCCGUCGCGGGCGCAGGAAAUUUGAGAGGAGCUGUCCUUAGUACGAGAGGACCGGGAUGGACGCACCGCUGGUGUACCAGUUGUUCUGCCAAGGGCAUCGCUGGGUAGCUAUGUGCGGACGGGAUAAGUGCUGAAAGCAUCUAAGCAUGAAGCCCCCCUCAAGAUGAGAUUUCCCAUUCCGCAAGGAAGUAAGAUCCCUGAAAGAUGAUCAGGUUGAUAGGUCUGAGGUGGAAGUGUGGCGACACAUGGAGCUGACAGAUACUAAUCGAUCGAGGACUUAACCAA
rnacentral:rRNA from 1 species